AUUUGUUCGUGACGGAAGGUCGGCCAGACAAGUUUGCGAGGAACACGAUGUUCCUACCGAUUUGAAGAUCAGCACUUUCAGCACAGGUAACCUUCGGCAAAAAAGAGGAGUCAACGUGUCUUAAUCUUGGACGAUGAUCUCCACCAGAUUCUUCUGCGUGCUCGUUGGGCUCUGUUGAUGAUUCUGGAUGAACGUUCCUGCCGUGUUUCGAUGGAAAAGG